GACGUAGGGCGCGAGCGUUGUCCGGAUUUAUUGGGCGUAAAGGGCUCGUAGGCGGCCAACUAAGUCAGACGUGAAAUCCCUCGGCUUAACCGGGGAACUGCAUCUGAUACUGUCGGGCUCGAGUCCGGAAGAGGCGAGUGGAAUUCCUGGUGUAGCGGUGAAAUGCGCAGAUAUCAGGAGGAACACCGGUGGCGAAGGCGGGUCUCUGGGCCGAUACUGACACUGAGGAGCGAAAGCGUGGGGAGCGAACAGG
rnacentral:rRNA from 1 species